GAUGAACGCUGGCGGCGUGCCUAAUACAUGCCAGUCGAGCGAACGGACGAGAAGCUUGCUUUUCUGAUGUUAGCGGCGGACGGGUGAGUAACACGUGAAUAACCUACCUAUAAGACUGGGAUAACUUCGGGAAACCGGAGCUAAUACCGGAUAAUAUUUUGAACCGCAUGGUUCAAAAGUGAAAGACGGUCUUGCUGUCACUUAUAGAUGGAUCCGCGCUGCAUUAGCUAGUUGGUAAGGUAACGGCUUACCAAGGCAACGAUGCAUAGCCGACCUGAGAGGGUGAUCAGCCAAACUGGAACUGAGGCACGGUCCAGACUCCUACGGGAGGCAGCAGUAGGGAAUCUUCCGCAAUGGGCGAAAGCCUGACGGAACAACGCCGCGUGAGUGAUGAAAGUCUUCGGAUCGUAAAACUCUGUUAUUAGGGAAGAACAUAUGUGUAAGUAACUGUGCACAUCUUGACGGUACCUAAUCAGAAAGCCACGGCUAACUACGUG
rnacentral:rRNA from 1 species